rnacentral:ncRNA from 7 species
AACCACAGCCAAGGGAACGGGCUUGG